rnacentral:misc_RNA from 1 species
AAUGAAUUAUUUUUUUACCAGUGAUAAAAAAAUAAAAAAAUUAAUAUACCAGAGUUGAGGUGAAUUACAAACAGGCAGUUCACAGUUUCUCAAUAAUUUAUGUGAAUAGUAAUCGGAGUUACGUACCUAUCAGGUAUUUUUAACGCUGUUGUAGUUACAUCACAUAAACAGUCUCUGCAUUGAGGAUUAACAAAUUCUUGGGAUAAUCCCGAUAUCCCUUUAGAAAUAAAUAUGCAGCUUCCAAAUUUCUCUUGUGAAGUAUCAUCAUUAAAACAAACAGACUCCAAUGAUCUUUGCUUGGUAAAAAAUCUGCAAGGGAUGUUAAUUGUAAUAACAAAAGAGCAGAAAAGUAAUCAGUACCUGAAAAUAGAUAAGCGUGGAACUGGAUUAGGGUAUAUAGUAAAACAGAAAAUGUUGGACUCCCAGCAAGUACAAUACAGGCUACGACAACAUAUGUACAAAAACAUGUGAAAAAGUCAACAGGGAUUGUUAGAAUAGAAACUACUAUAAUGACAGGAUUAUCUUAACACCCCCAUGAUUAAUAUCUUUGCAUCAGCCGACAUUAUCUGUAUUUACAUCAGGACAAAGCUGGAUCGAUGGAAGUACUUGCACUAUUUGUGACACAGGUACAAUACUCAUAUCAUGAUUUGAAUAAAAUGGAAUGAAUACCUGGAACUAGCAAUGACUAAUUCAAGUACAUGUAUCUUUUCAAAUAAGCUAACCAUUGUAUGUGAGUUAUUAAUAUCACAAAUCUUAGAUUAUUUAUCGAUAGAAUUAUCCCCUGAAGCCUUCUGAUG